GCUACUGCUCUGCUCGCUCGAAACCGCCUCUCCCUGCCUGCUGGAUGGCUGAGGUCAGAGAGAAGAGCCAUCGCCAGAGCCACCCCUGUCCUCCUUUGCCCAUCCCACCUCCUGCCACUACGUCGGUGGGCUGAACUCGCCGGCCAGCCCGAGGGCUGGAGAUUGGGGGCGAUGCCUUCCGCAAAGGCCCCGGGGACGAGGCAGGGAAGGAAGAGUGGCUCUGGAGGCACCGCGGAGGCUGUCCGGCUCACAGGACUGAGAGCCACCGACCCUGAGGGCAUCUCUCCGCUGGCCCCGGGCUCUGAGGUUUCCCACCACUCCAGCGUCCUUCUUCCUGCCCUCACUGCGCAUCCAAGAGGGCCGGGACCCAACUUGAGGCCGAAGUCCUCACCCAGCCUGGAGAACAGAGACCCCCCCAACCCGAGGUCAGAGCUACCUCUUCCCAGCACGUGACGCCAUCUCGGUAACAGGCCGAAAAUGCAGCUUUUGGAGCAAAAAGCCCAUGUUUACAGAACAGCAGCAAAGGUAUGUGCCUGCAAACAAAGCAGCUUGUUACACUUAGGCCCCAAUAAAAAAUCUUCUAAGUGCCUAAUUAACA